rnacentral:rRNA from 1 species
CAGCAGCCGCGGGAAUACGGAGGGUGCAAGCGUUAAUCGGAAUUACUGGGCGUAAAGCGCACGCAGGCGGUCUGUCAAGUCAGAUGUGAAAUCCCCGGGCUCAACCUGGGAACUGCAUUUGAGACUGUAUGGCUAGAGUGUGUCAGAGGGGGGUAGAAUUCCACGUGUAGCAGUGAAAUGCGUAGAUAUGUGGAGGAAUACCGAUGGCGAAGGCAGCCCCCUGGGAUAACACUGACGCUCAUGCACGAAAGCGUGGGGAGCAAACAGGAUUAGAUACCCCUGUAGUCCCUGUCUCUUAUAC